GAUAGGGAAGAUACCAAGACAGUAACAAAAUAUAAAAGCCCAAGGGGAAUGAAGGCAAAUGACAGAGAAAAGGAAACAUGGCUGUACUUCCUACAGGGAAAAGGCUUCCAGACUGGAACAGCCAUCCUAGUGUUUUUGCAGCAUGAUGUCGAUGUGUUUCUAUUCGGGAUCCAAAGCCCUCUGCAAGGGCAAACCUGCACCACACCUGAUGAAAAUAAACCUGUUAUACACAAGGCGAAGUAAGUUUGAAGUGCAGAGCUGAGUCCAGAAUGGAAAAGAUUUAAUUAUCCUUCUGUGACAUGGGCUUUGGUGAUGAGGACUGGAAGAGGCAGGAAAUGGAUGUACAAGCAACCUGCUCAGAGGAGGUCCUGCAGGCACAGACCUACUUGAGGCUUUAUUGACAGAAUGAAUAGUUUUGGCAGAACCAAGCAUGGACUUAAAUCAGCACUGCUAGAUGCAAGCAAACUUCUCAGCAAGCAUGAUCCUGCCUACCUGAACACUAAAUCAGCGCUGCAUGAGUCUGUUAUCUUCUAUCUCACUGUUCAAAACCGGAUCUGGGCUGACAGCAGUAGCACUGAGACAGCUUGCAAUCACCAUGGAUGUCCCUGGAGCCUUCCUGCUUGUCAAGCACAGCACACUGCUCUGCACUUGAAAGCAUAUGGCCAACAAAACAAAGAGCUUGCAGCUGGAAUUUGAAUGUGGCACAAACUGAAUUGCUUUAAAAAUCAAGGUAUGUGCUAGGAAGAAACAAACUGUAAAGAUGCCAGACACAAAAGGAAAUGUAGACCAACCACUGGUCUCAAGCCAGGAGCAAUCUUCUUAACUUCCCAUGAUGAAAAUCCAUCCAUCUCCUGAUGCAGUACUUAACUGCAUGGUUCAAUUCUUUCAGCCAUUCCCAAGAAGUCACAUGCCUCAGGAUUCAUGUUGCUCACCUCCGAGCUCUGUGAUUCAUGGAGAUACAUUCUUCUAAAAAUACCUAGCCCAAAAAUGGACACAGUUUUCCAGCUGAGGUCACUAAUGCCAAGCUGAGGAAAAGAACAAGUUCCUAUAUUUUAUACCUGUUAUUGCAUCCCAGAAGGGCAUUUGAAUGUCUUGCAGCAGCACUAUAUUUAGCACUUCCAAUUGCAAUCUAUUGUCACCUUCUGGAUCCUUUUCUGUAGCAGAAAAGAACGAACACAUCAGGACAAACUUCUACAGGGCCCUACCUCUUGACUCAUCACAUUUAAGGAACACACUGAAUGACAAACUCAAACAGUAAUUUGCAAUCAGUUGUACAUACACCUCAUAAUUUUAUCUGAAUCAUUUUUCUUCAGCUUGCUUCUGAUAACAUUGUGUGGGAUUGUCAAAAGCUGUGGUACAGUCAAUAUAAAUUCUGUCUGUGGUUCCUAAAGGUUUUUCUAGGUUUCUAUCCAUGUUUUAGAUAUUUUUUAGGAUGGUAUCAUGUGAUUUCCUCUUAAAAAACCUGUAUAUUUUCUGUUUUGGUGGUUAUUAAGUGACUGCUCAGUGAGAGCAUUUCCAGGUACUGAAGUUAAACUCAUCCAUCACUGUAUGUCCUGUAGAUUUAUUUCUAGCCUUGCUCUAAAUAUAGAUUUUGUUUUACUUUUCACAGUAAAAAACUCCCUGUCCACCUGCAAUUUUCAGAAAUGGUCAUUAACAGUUCAGAGGUUGCUCAGGAUAAAUCCUGAAAUACGUUUGGAGAAAUUUCCUCAGAACCAUCUCACAUGAAUACAGAUGGCCUGUCUAGAUCAUCUGUCCUGUGCUCUUGUUGAAAUUAAUUUCAUGAAUGUACCUGGUCAAAAUUAACUUUAUUUUGUGGUUAAUAAGGGGAAAAAAGGAACUCCAUGGAGUGUCCAUCAUUCAUAUUGCUUUUAAAAUACUGUGCAUAUUUGAGUAGAUUUUCAGAAAACCUCAUCUACCAUGCAGACCCCCAUGGACAAACACAACUUAGUGAUUUCAAAUUCCACCCUGAACUCUGUCUGAUAAAUAUGCUUGUUUCACUAUUAUAACUAGAUUACAAUGUAGAGAUGGAGUCACAGUCACCAAAUUCAUUCCACGAGAAGACUAGUCCUUUUUGGAUCACUAUUUAAAGUUUGAAUUAUUUCUCUUUCUCUAUUUCUAUUUCUCUUCUUUAAAAGAUUAAGCAUUAAAUCAUAUAUAUUAUUUUAAGAGCUGGGUUUGCUAGUAGUUUCUCUCCUCAUAAUUCUCUGCCUUCAAUUCUGCCUGUAUAUAUAGUGUGAGUGAAUGAAGUUUGCCCAGGCAGAAAGCAAAAUUAAAAUACUUUUGAAAACCAGUUAAUAUCUCUGCUUGGAUACAUCGCAUAGAAAUGAUCAUCGCUAUUUUUUCAGACUCCUCAUGUUCUUGCAAGGCUUUUUGUGACUGAUGUCAACUUUACUCUUCUAUAUUUUUUAUGCAGCUGUUUUGUUUAAAACAAAGCUCCUCCUUCUUAUGCCAGAGUGUUUUUCUCUUAUAGAUGCAAAACAUCACCUGGGCAUGCUCCUUUUGCUCACACACAGGCUCUCCAUACAGGUGCAUAUUCACAAUGUUAGGUCAGAUGUCAAGAGUAAUUUAAAUUUCUAAAUGAAAUUUUUGCUGUUUGGUAGCUUGGUGGGGGCAUUGCCACUGACUUUAACAGCGUCAAACUGUCAGCCGCUCUUUGUGUAAAUCUUUCCAUGUAACAUUCCUAUUGUGUAAUUCAUACAACUACAGAGCAAAUAAAGGCAUUUGUCCUCACUUGCUCACUAUUUCUUUUCAGGGAACAACUAGUCACAGAAUGCAGCAGGAUGAAGGUCUCACAGCACUGGUUGCACAUAAAGAAGCUCCAGUAACAGCAUAAUCUAAUUUCAGAAACAAUAAGUGACUUUAGCAUGGAGGUAGAAAACUAAAGGAAGUUUGAGAAGUUUUUAAGCUCUUACAGAAAAGUAAAAUACUUCCCUCAAUGCUAAAUGGGCUUUUUUUUGUGUGUGUUGAACAGACCUUUUCUCCUCAAUAGGGAGGUACGCGCCUUUUAUAUCUUCUAGGAAUUGCUGCUCUAGACAGAAAUGCAUUUUCAUUAUUUAAACCUUACAAGUGUUUCUAGCUUUCUGGAAAUAAAAAUUGUCCGAUUUCUUAACAUCAAAAUUAGGAGAAAACAAACAAAAAAGAAGCAGACACUAAAGUGUUAUAAGGAACAUGUGAAAUAUUUAAUAAGCAGAAAAAGAACCUCAGAAAUAAAGGUUGUCCAGUCUCUCAGAUUUCAAAAAAUAAAGAUUAAGUAAAGUAAGUUUAGGGACAGUGAUGUCACUUUUCUGACAGGACACUUCUUCGCAGAAGAUUGCAUGAGAUUAAAUUACCUACGUGGUACCCCCUGAAAAAAAUUAAACAGCGCUGGUUCAGAGUACAGCCCAGAAACCCAGGAGACCAAAUUACUUUAUCUGCCUCCCUUUGAUGAGCAACUCUUCCCCAGUCACAGGAAAAAAAAUAUUCAAAGACAAACCCCAAAACUUUGCAGAGCUUUGCCUGCUUCUUGCCUCUUGCCUCCUUCAGUGAACCCUGGCCAAAUGGGUGUUCUUCAGGCAUGGCUGCAGUGCUGGUCCCAGCUGUGCUCCCCUUUGUCACUGUUGGUGACCCAAGAGGUGAUACCUGAGUGCAGAACACUUAGACAGACACAGAGCCCUGCCUAAGGGACACCUUCCCAAGGAGAAGCUUCAUCCUUUGCAAUUCCCUAUUCUUGAUUUCUGGAGGUCUCAUUAUCAAACCUGCCCAAAACAGAGCUGCGCUCAGCACUCUUGUUUAACGCAGAGCAUAAAAGGACAAUAGGAUUUUAUUAACCCCAAAUAUAAAAUGCAUCUGCACCUAAGCAGGAGCAGUCCUACUAGUCUUACAAAAAAACAGACAAGUGGGUCCUGAGCAAGCCCAUUUUCUUCUCCUCCAGCUUCAGCAGAGUCUGGCAAAGAGCUCCCUCCUCUGUAGGUAAUUCUGUCCCCUGCAGCUCCUUGGAGCUCUACUCUUUCCUCCAACAGCUGAGGACUCUCCCAGGUAACUGAGGGGCUCCCUGCACCAACUUGCAGAGGGUUUGACCUUACAUGGAUUCAUCAGUCUAUCAAUACAGACAGACUUCUACACCUGCACAAGAUUCACUGCAAGGCUGGGGCCAAAAUAAUUCCCAGCUCUACUGUGCCAUAGUCAGGCUCAGCUACUCAUUCCAGCCUCGCACCAGAAAAAGGUCUAGGGGUGAAACCAGGAGGAAGAAAAUCAAAUUAAACAUCCAGAAUAACACAAUUUUCUUACAUUAUUUUCUCCAUGUCUCUAUCUUCCCCAAGCUGCUUUUGUCAAAUGCCCUAUCUGACUGGUGCAGGAUUGUUUGGCAUGAGCAUGGUCUGAAAAACAAAUUUCACCCCCUGGAGAAUUUUGCUGAGAAUAAUAGAUCCGUGUGAAGGUCUAAAUCAAUAGAAGUCUUUCUGAAUGCAUUUCUAGGAAACCUAGAAAUAUCAUCAGUGACUUUGACUAAAAUACACAGUGCUACUGUUUGGAAAGCAAUUUAUAGUUAAGUAAUUUAAAUUUUGUUGCAGAGAAGGCCAUAUAGUGAGAACUUCACCCAUGGCAGGAGAGGGAAGCUGGAGGUGUUCAGGGACUGCAAAUAAUAGCACAAUUUUGGGAGGAGGUUUGAGAGCUUUUGGGUUUUUUUUAUUGCAAGUAUGAUUUCUGGAUCUUUUUUCCAUCCCAAAGAAAUACCCUUUUCUGUCUCUCUUGAAUUUCAGCUUUUGCAUAUUUUUUCUCCCUAAGGUUUACUUUGUGUCAGAGGAUUACUUUUGCCUCUAUUAAAAGCUUCUUUUAGGCUAUCAGAGUAGGUGUUCAAGGUCUGCAUUCUGUCACUUCUUAUUUACAUGUUUUCAAGUGUUUCUCCUAAAGCUUAAGCUUAACUGAAGGAGAAAUAAAUGUAGAGGCUAUGCUACCAUAUAGUCAGUUGAAAUGCACACCAGGCAUUCUUCCCUUUUUUCCACUAUUAGGACUUGUAUUUGUGAAAGGUUUGAUUCUCCUAACCUCAAUUUUGUUACCCAGUGCCACCCACAAACCUUUCUUUUCAACUUCAGCACCAUCUUGCUGAUGCCUAAAGUGGGGAUGCAUCCCCGUGUGCCAGUUCCAGGAUUCAAUUAUCUUGUUUCGCUCUUGCAUCUCUUUGACUGAGUAACUCAGCAACUACCUUCAGUCCAAACCCAUCUGAGAUGCCUUAAGCCUACCUUUGUUGCCUUCCAGAAGCAUGUCCUCUCCAUGAGGAUAUAUGCUAGUCAUGCAACAAAUGAAAGGAGGAAAAAAAUCGUGAUUUCUAUACACUGACUGAAGUGAUGCCAGUGGGUGGAUGGCAGUGAGGGCAGGAAUCACAGGGCCAGAGUGGGAGGAGAAAGGGAUGUCACAUCACCUGGUGCUCCUACCUGGUAUGGCGGCAAGUGUUGUUCAGAGCUCUGCGAGGCUGCGGAGGUGCUGACCCUGCAUUUCUCUCUUUCUAAACCUGAGGUUUCACUAAUCACCAGGGUAUUAAAUAAAAUAUGGUGUCUGUUUCCUCCGGCCAUUUUAGUUCUUUCCCUUAGGUUAUGAACAAGUAUUUCCAGUGUUUCUCUUGGGAGGCAGCCCACAUGUCCACAGUGUGUCUAAAAGGAGGCAUCAUUCCCUUGCACCCUGUCCCUUUACAUCCCUGCCCCUUUCUCUGUGACCAGCCUUUCGAGGGGCAGGGCUGGCCAGGAGCACAGCACUGGCUGCAGGGCCCACUGCUGGUAUGAGGACUCCCAUGGUCAACACAACUUGAUGGCAUCCAUGUACUCCGUGAGGGGGCUCAGUUAGGUCAGCCCUACAGCAAAGCCCUAUGAUGAUCUGAAGACUAAAAGCCUGGCUUUACCACCACGCUGCUAUGAGCUGUUGAUGACUUUAAGUGUUAAUUACACUUUGUUUUGUCCAGGUUUGAUUGAUAAAAACUCAUUUGUUUGAUACAAACUCAUUUGCUUCCAGGGAUCUCUUACUGGGGGCCAUCACAGCCUUGAAAACCUUAGAAAGAAAUUCAAAGUGUGAAAACCCAUUGCAGCAGCAGAGCAAACAAUUUGCAGGAAAACAGAGAACACCAGCAAUAAAGGCAGGCAGGGGGAAGUGAUGCAGCUCUCCAAGGCUCCCCCAGGGCACAGUGAGCUAAAAUCAAAAGAGAAAACAGUAUGCAAGACCAAAUCCUGCCAGUGGCAAGUCCAAAAAACAGCUGGAGCAAAAGGCAGCUCUUGGAAAUGAAGCUGCUGCUUACCCUCACCCCUUCUUUGUAAGUAUCCCCCAUACAAAAAACAAGAUACUAUGAAACAUUAGACAGUUCUGCUCAAAUAAAUUUCUCCCUCACUUUUCUUUUGGCUAUGCCUGUUUUUUAACCCUUGGCAGCCUGCUCUUCAGGCCUGCUGUGCUGGAGCUGGGACACCAGCGGGGUGUGCAAGUCCAUGCUUCCUCAGCAGCCUGGACAGGGAUGGAGGUGAAAGCACUGGGGAAGUCACAGCUCCAGCUGGCUUUCUGCAUCCUUAUAUUCAGAUUUUCUUUCUCUCUUCAGGAUAGGAAAGGUAACUGGAGAGAGAGUAUUACACAUCUGGUGUUCAUAGAAGGGUUUGUGUUGGAAGGGAUCUUCAAGGAUCCAGCCUUCCUGCUAUGGGAAGGGACACCUUCCACUAGACCACAUUGCUCAAAGCCCCAUCCAGCCUGGCCUUGAGCAAUUCGAAUGAUGAAACAUCCUUGGUCUUGUUGAACUUCAUGAGGUUUGCAUGGUCCACCCCUCAAGCCUGUCAAGGUCCCUCUGGGUGCCAUCCCUUCCCUCCAGUGAGUCAACUGCACCACUCAACAUGGCAUCCUCUUCAAACUUGCUCAGGAUGCAUUCAACCCCACUGUCCAUGUGUUAACUUAUCCAUUUUCAUGUUGA